UGGGGAAUAUUGGGCAAUGGGCGCAAGCCUGACCCAGCAACGCCGCGUGAAGGAAGAAGGCUUUCGGGUUGUAAACUUCUUUUGUCAGGGAAGAGCAGAAGACGGUACCUGACGAAUAAGCCACGGCUAACUACGUGCCAGCAGCCGCGGUAAUACGUAGGUGGCAAGCGUUGUCCGGAUUUACUGGGUGUAAAGGGCGUGUAGCCGGGCUGACAAGUCAGAUGUGAAAUCCGGGGGCUCAACCCCCGCAACAUGCAUUUGAAACUGUUGGUCUUGAGUAUCGGAGAGGCAGGCGGAAUUCCUAGUGUAGCGGUGAAAUGCGUAGAUAUUAGGAGGAACACCAGUGGCGAAGGCGGCCUGCUGGACGACAACUGACGGUGAGGCGCGAAAGCGUGGGGAGCAAACAGGAUUAGAUACCC
rnacentral:rRNA from 1 species